AUUGAACGCUGGCGGAAUGCUUUACACAUGCAAGUCGAGCGGCAGCACGGGGGCAACCCUGGUGGCGAGCGGCGAACGGGUGAGUAACACAUCGGAACAUGCCCAGUCGUGGGGGCUAACACUUCGAAAGAAGUGCUAAUACCGCAUACGUCCUGAGGGAGAAAGCGGGGGAUCGCAAGACCUCGCGCGAUUGGAGUGGCCGAUGUCAGAUUAGCUAGUUGGUGGGGUAAAGGCCUACCAAGGCAACGAUCUGUAGCUGGUCUGAGAGGAUGAUCAGCCACACUGGGACUGAGACACGGCCCAGACUCCUACGGGAGGCAGCAGUGGGGAAUUUUGGACAAUGGGGGCAACCCUGAUCCAGCCAUUCCGCGUGAGUGAAGAAGGCCUUCGGGUUGUAAAGCUCUUUCGGCAGGAACGAAACGGUGAGCUCUAACAUAGCUUGCUAAUGACGGUACCUGAAAAAGAAGCACCGGCUAACUACGUG
rnacentral:rRNA from 1 species